AUGCUCAGGCAAACCAGAAAUCUCCAGGAGGCUCCAUGUUUUGGGACAGCUCGUGGUGUCUAUUUGGUCUCCUACCAGCUUGUAUACUGUAUAGCUAUACUUGUAUACCACUUGUAUAGCUAUACAAGUCCCUCUAGCUUGCCAGCUCAACUUUCCAGCUUUCAGCCAUGCACCAAAGUUUCUCCCUGUUAUCUCACUAAGGACAAACUUCCCACAGGUGCUGCCACUGGUGGCGCAGCCUCACACACUCCUGAUGAGAACCUUUCAACGACAGCUAUCAGUGGCUGCCAGAAUCACCAAGGCAGAUGGGAAAAGAGAAGGGACUCAACUGGUCCAAGUGGAAAUCAUCCAUCUAUCCAUGGUGCCACACCCUCUCCAGAUGGGAUAUUACUGAUUUGAUGUCUCACUGAGAUCUCAGAGGAGCUUGGUUGCAGCUGGAAAUGGAACUGAACAGAAAAAAAAACUUCAACAACAAAAACUGGACAAGGUGGGAGAAAGAAUGAAAGCUGCUACCCUGGCAUGAUAAUUCGUGCAAUUGCCAAUUAUGGAGACUUGACACCUUUAUUGCAGCAGCUGGUGCUGGCUGCUGUAGAAGACUGUGAGGCAGCUGAUGUAUUUCAUCCUGACAAUUUUCUCCAACCUAUGGAGCUCAGAGUCCUGGCACAAGGACCUUCCACUUUGACCGCCAAGCUUUCCCCCAGAGAACAAGCUGUACUGGCAGCACUGAUGACUCCCCAGUCACAAAAAGACAAGCCAAAGCUUGAUGUUAUCUGAAUUUCACAAAAUGUCUACUUUUCCUCUAUUCUGAGCAGGCCGUAAAGAAAGGGAAAGAUGUUAUUACUAGUUCUGGAAUGAGUUCUUCAGACCAGAAGAAUGGGAUGGAUCCAGCUGGUGAAAGAAACAUCAUAGAAACAAAAUGCACAGAGGAUCCACAGGGAAAAGAACUCCUGAAGCCAAACACCAAUUGAUCUUGGUAGCAUGUUGCAAUCCAGACUUGAUAAAUAUUGCACUGCUGUAGGGCACAGACAAGGUUCAGAUCCUUCACUUUCUCUUGCUUACACAUGGGUGUGAAUCUAAAUCUGCCACAUCCUCAAGUGCUCUGUCUGAAACUAGUGCAUGCAUCUUUUCCAGUUUCUCCUUCUGGAGUUGUUCUCUUCUGAGUAAAAAAACAUUUUGAGAAAGAAGAAAUGAUGCUCCAGCCUUAGAAGCUGAAAUCUUACAGCAGUUGGGCUGUUGUUAUUUAUAUAGCUGUUGCUUGUGCAUCAGGGAAAAGAAGUUUUAGUAGAGGCAUGCUGUGUCUCUGGCAAUCUAACCAUGUGCUGUUGACAGUCUCAGGUGGGUAGAUCCCAGUCCCUCUUGUUUGACAAGGAACUUCUGGGCUUGGCAAUUGCCCAAAAUC
rnacentral:lncRNA from 1 species